AACAAGGCGUACCUGCGGACCUGCGGAAGGAUCAUUACAUGGCGGAGAAGGUGGGCACCUGGCAAACUCCAGGUUGUGAUGCCUUCACGCUCUUCCACCCUUGUCUAUUUGCACCUUCUGUCGUUCCCUCGGCGGGUUUCGACCCGCCGGCGGCAACAUUGAGAAACCUUUUUUGCAGUUAGCAUCCAAUUCUUCUGAUCAAAAUAUCAAAUCGUUACAACUUUCAACAAUGGAUCUCAG
rnacentral:misc_RNA from 1 species